AUGCCCGUGUCGGGGGAGGAACCUGUCCGGUGUCUGUGGCCGUUUGCGGGCGCCGAGCCCGGGCUGCCGGAGGCGGCGAGGCCCCCGCCGCUGGCUGGUGCGGUGUCGAGCGCCGGCGAGUUCAGGUACAGCGGGUAGUGAUCUGUCUUCUGCGAUACCAAUUUCACCAAUUUUUGAAUGGCUUCAGGAUUCGGCGAGCCCCGAAAUAAAAUAUUGAACUGGC